rnacentral:rRNA from 1 species
UACGAAGGGCUAGCGUUGUUCGGAAUUACUGGGCGUAAAGGGCGCGUAGGCGGUACUUCAAGUCAGGCGUGAAAGCCCGGGCUCAACCUGGGAACCGCGCUUGAGACUGGAGAACUAGAGUACGGUAGAGGAUGGUGGAAUUCCGGUGUAGCGGUGAAAUGCGUAGAGAUCGGGAGGAACACCCGUGGCGAAGGCGGCCAUCUGGACCAGUACUGACGCUGA